rnacentral:rRNA from 1 species
UGAGGAAUAUUGGUCAAUGGUCGGGAGACUGAACCAGCCAAGCCGCGUGAGGGAAGAAGGUACAGAGUAUCGUAAACCUCUUUUGCCGGGGGACAAAAGGCCGGACGAGUCCGGUUCCGAGGGUACCCGGAGAAAAAGCAUCGGCUAACUCCGUGCCAGCAGCCGCGGUAAUACGGAGGAUGCGAGCGUUAUCCGGAUUUAUUGGGUUUAAAGGGUGCGUAGGCGGUUCCUUAAGUCAGCGGUCAAAGCCCGGGGCUCAACCCCGGCCCGCCGUUGAAACCGGGGAACUGGAGUUGGAGAGAAGCAGGCGGAAUGCGCGGUGUAGCGGUGAAAUGCAUAGAUAUCGCGCAGAACCCCGAUUGCGAAGGCAGCCUGCCGGCUCCACACUGACGCUGAGGCACGAAAGCGUGGGUAUCGAACAGG